UAAGACCUCGGCCGGGGCAGAUUGCACAGUGGAGAAAGAGUUCUCUGCUCUCGAACUUAAGUCGAAUAAAUCUUGACAUAUGACAGACGAAGGGGUUUGACGAGUUAUCCAUGACCUCCGUCUUGUAGGGAUCCACGAUAGAAGGACUGUAUCACAUGAUAGCUGCACCUAGAGGUUCAUCAAUCUAUUCUGCUGGGUAGCCACUACAUGC
rnacentral:lncRNA from 1 species